AUUGAACGCUGGCGGCAUGCCUUACACAUGCAAGUCGAACGGCAGCACGGGUGCUUGCACCUGGUGGCGAGUGGCGAACGGGUGAGUAAUACAUCGGAACAUGUCCUGUAGUGGGGGAUAGCCCGGCGAAAGCCGGAUUAAUACCGCAUACGAUCUACGGAUGAAAGCGGGGGACCUUCGGGCCUCGCGCUAUAGGGUUGGCCGAUGGCUGAUUAGCUAGUUGGUGGGGUAAAGGCCUACCAAGGCGACGAUCAGUAGCUGGUCUGAGAGGACGACCAGCCACACUGGGACUGAGACACGGCCCAGACUCCUACGGGAGGCAGCAGUGGGGAAUUUUGGACAAAGGGCGAAAGCCUGAUCCAGCAAUGCCGCGUGUGUGAAGAAGGUCUUCGGGUUGUAAAGCACUUUUGUCCGGAAAGAAAUCCUUGGCCCUAAUACGGUCGGGGGAUGACGGUACCGGAAGAAUAAGCACCGGCUAACUACGUG
rnacentral:rRNA from 1 species